UUCACAGCAGGGACACAUUUUGAUAAAAUUAAACGAAAUGUGUAGUCUCUGUGCGUCUAUGGAGAAACCUGAAAUGGAAACGGAGUGGGAGAGUACACGUGGUUAUGAGACAACUUUCAGUAGAUUCAAUUAUACUUCAAGCUUGAUGCUGUUAUGUUUUCUGUUUCCAACUGUGACAGAACCUAGAACAGAAAUGAAGUGUGUGACAAUAAUUCAUAGACAAAUUAAUACUCUUUCAUGGAUGCUAAAUUUGGUAGAUCUAGCCAUAAAUGUUUUAUUAUAAUUCAAAGUGGUAUAUAGUUAUAUUUAUAAUAAUUCAUUGUUUGAAUUUGUUUUUAUAAAGCACUUUAUUGAACUAAAAUAAUCAUAGCUGCAUUUAGUAAAGUAUUUAGCACACGUGUGACUGCUGUCUCAUGCCUUAAGUGUUUCAGCUGCUAAAAUAUGUUUUGGGGAUAUUUUUUCUGGAUAGAAAUUUACCUUUCUGAUAUUGUACGAGUGUUUGGACAUUCCUUUCAAAGGUGAAAUAUGGCUACUUAUAUUGCUUUGUUUCUAAUAAUGAUAUUGAAGGUGUAAAGUAUGUAAAUAUUUUUGUAAGAAAUUGAUUAAACAUAUUGGCCAAUCAUU